rnacentral:lncRNA from 1 species
CCAUCCUUCCAUUGGAUUCAUCAAAGCAUAGCUCGUGUUAUCUUACUCUCUACAAAUCCCACUACAAACUUGUUGGUUCUAUAUUACAGUAACAUAAAAAAUGAGUUCAGCGAGUAAAGCUUGGUUGGUUGCCGCUGCUAUCGGAGGUGUUGAGGCGUUGAAAGAUCAAGGGUUCUGUAGGUGGAACUACACCUUGAGAUCCCUACACCACCAUGCCAAGAACCAUGUCAGAUCAGCCUCUCAGGCCAAGAAGCUUUCUUCUUCAUCCUCAGCCAUGAUCUCAAAUAUAGUCAAGGAAGAGAAGGCAAAACAGUCAGAGGAGUCUUUAAGAAAAGUCAUGUACUUGAGUUGUUGGGGUCCAAACUGAAGCUAUGAAUCUAGUAGAUGAAAUCGAGGGACUUAGUUUGUAGGAGUAAAUCCUUGCAAGCUUAUGCAAAUUGUAAAAUUUGAUGCUCAUUUGGAGCUGUAGAGGCAUUGAAGGACCAGGGUUUUUGCAGAUGGACCUACACCAUGAGAUCAUUACACAAACAUGCCAAGAAUAAUACGAGGUCAAUCUCUCAGGCCAGGAAGCUUUCUUCUUCAUCUUUUGCUAUGGUUUCGAAUAAAUUGAGGGGAUCAAGCCAAUACGAGGAGUCUCUGAGGAAAGUCAUGUACUUGAGUUGUUGGGGUCCAAAUUAAAUGAGUUUAGAAGUUUGCCAUGAGAAUCUGAUGCCUUAUGCAGGCUGAAGCUGGUCCAUUGAGAAGAACAUAGCCAAAGCCAUGAUUAUGGUUUGUGAGAGAAAAUUUGCGGGGCUUGAUUAGUGAUUGAUGCAAGCCUAGUGUUAACUGUAGCUAGUCUGACUGCCAUCUCAUGAUCAGCUUGUAAUUACACCAUUGCUAUACGCAACACGAAAAUUUUGUGGAACAAAAUAUGUUGUCACCAUCUUCCUAUCUUUUGCUAUCCCUUUUUAAUUGAUGUCCCAUGCAAUCUCAAAAAUCUUGCUUGUUCUUUGAUCAUUUCGUUGUGAGAUGUUGCCACCAAAUUUUCAUGGUUUCUGUGACAUGGGCUAAAUGACAUUCAAACAUCCUGCUUAAUUUCGAGCAUGGAUUCAGCCUUUCCUUGAUAGAUCAUGGUUUGAUGCUUAACGUCAAGCAACAAGAUUGGAAACAUGUGCAUUUUCAAUUAAGAAUUCUGGAAUUUCAAAACUUUUUCUGCAGAUCUGUCUUCCAAAUUCCUACCUGUCUAUCAGUGUGACCACUUCUCACUUCAAGCAAAGCGAUUAACUAUUUCUGUGCAUGGAUAGUAGGGCUUCGAUAGGAUUUUAGAGGCUUACCUUGAAUGGUGGGCAGAAUUUUUUAGAGCAAAGGACAUUUAUAGACUUAAAUCUUGAAGUAAGGGAUAAUUUCUUCAUCUUCUUCGCCAUCAUAUCCUCCUUAACCAUGCUACUAUUCUAACACCCACACAUACACAUGGUUAUUCAAGGCUCUUUCUCUUCUACUUAAAUUGAUUUAAGCAUUGAAGGAUCAAUCAUUUUCAUCAAAAGACUUGUUUUGAAGGUUAUCAUCCAUCCCAAUACUUUCUCAAGCAGGUUUUAGUCCAACUCAACCUAAAGAGUAACUAAUUCUUUUGGAAGGGGUUUCUACAACUUCAUCACUGUUAGCUUGAAAUUGUACUCACCUAAUUAACCCUCGUUUUAAAGUUUGUGCAUGAUUUUUUUAUAUUCAAAAGUUAGCAUUCUGAGUUUUUUUUUUAAUGUAUAAUGUGUUUAUAGGAUAUGGCUUCUAAAAAUAAUUUAAAAAUAAUGGUGCUAAUUGGUGCUUACGUAUUUUCUUUUCCCAAAUCUUAUAUAAACCUUCUGUGUAAGUUGAUGGCGAGUAGGAUUUUUAUAAAUCUUCAUGUCUGGAUGUAAGUAAUUUGCUCAAUUUUGUAAGUUCCUGAAAAGGGAUCGAUUCAAGCUUUAUGUGAAUACAUGUUUACCAUAAAAUAAAAUAUGAAAAAGAUGAAUUCCAAGAAAUCGAGAGAGAAAGAGAGAGAGAGAGAGAGCUAUCCUCAGUCCCACACUUUCUUUCAGUCCUUACAAGUGGCAAAAGCACUUCAAUGAGAAGUGCCACCAAAUUGUGACAUGCAUGACUCACCACCCUUCAGCUAUGCUCCUCCUGAUACGUUGGCUUGGAUUUAUUUAUUUUACGAAGCAAAACCGUGUGCUCAUUUCAAGGCAGGCAGAGAAGCUUUUGACUUGCUGUGGAGUGAAGGGCAAAAAAAUCUAGCCAUCCCAAGAACCCGAUUUUGUCCCCACCUUCUUGUUGUCGCCAUGUGGUAGUUGAAUGUCAAUACAGUCAUCUCACCAUAAAAAAAUACCAUUGGCUUUUGCUGGUUUCCUCACCCAAAACCACCAGCAGGAAGCCUUUAGCCUCAGGUUUUUUCCUAAACUUUUGGCAUUCUCACCUAUAUAACCAAACCCCAUCCUCCCAUCGGAUUCAUCAAAGCAUAGCUCGUGUUUUCUUACUCUCCACAAAUCCCACUACAAACUUGUUGGUUCUAUAUUACAGUAACAUAAAAAAUGAGUUCAGCGAGUAAAGCUUGGUUGGUUGCCGCUGCUAUCGGAGGUGUUGAGGCGUUGAAAGAUCAAGGGUUCUGUAGGUGGAACUACACCUUGAGAUCCCUACACCACCAUGCCAAGAACCAUGUCAGAUCAGCCUCUCAGGCCAAGAAGCUUUCUUCUUCAUCCUCAGCCAUGAUCUCAAAUAUAGUCAAGGAAGAGAAGGCAAAACAGUCAGAGGAGUCUUUAAGAAAAGUCAUGUACUUGAGUUGUUGGGGUCCAAACUAAAGUAAUGAAUCUAGGAGAUGAAAUCGAGGGACUUAGUUUAUAGGAGUAAAUCGUAGCAAGCUUAUGCAAAUUGUAAAUUUUGAUGCUCAUUUGAUGAAAUCGAACAUUAUCGCAUGUUUCUACCAUUUCUUUUGGUAACGCGCAGUGCAUUUCCCUAGUGAGUAAAUUUAACAAAGCUCUUUUCUAGUUUUCAAGUGGAAUAAACAGGCAAUUAAUUUCAAUAUGAGAUAUGAAAUUCAACUCGAGGCUAAAAUCUCUUUCUCCC